rnacentral:rRNA from 1 species
GAUGAACGCUGGCGGCGUGCCUAAUACAUGCAAGUCGAGCGAACGGACGAGAAGCUUGCUUCUCUGAUGUUAGCGGCGGACGGGUGAGUAACACGUGGAUAACCUACCUAUAAGACUGGGAUAACUUCGGGAAACCGGAGCUAAUACCGGAUAAUAUUUUGAACCGCAUGGUUCAAAAGUGAAAGACAGUCUUGCUGUCACUUAUAGAUGGAUCCGCGCUGCAUUAGCUAGUUGGUAAGGUAACGGCUUACCAAGGCAACGAUGCAUAGCCGACCUGAGAGGAUGACCGGCCACACUGGAACUGAGACACGGUCCAGACUCCUACGGGAGGCAGCAGUAGGGAAGCUUCCGCAAUGGGCGAAAGCCGGACGGAGCAACGCCGCGUGAGUGAUGAAGGUCUUCGGAUCGUAAAACGCUGUUAGUAGGGAAGAACAUAUGUGUAAGUAACUGUGCACAUCUUGACGGUACCAAAUCAGAAAGCCACGGCUAGCUACGUG